AAGCAACCGUGACAAGUGGUGCCCGACCAGGGACCUGAACGAGGAAGGUCUGCCAGAGCAGAGAAAGUGAAACUGAUCAGACGAACUACGAACCCCUGGACGGGAGAGUCUGCCGGCGGAGAAUAUAAGCCCGUGUCCUCUGUCUCUUGCUUCGGCGCCUGGAUGGCUUGCCGCCCACACAAGAGCACCUUAAAACCAGAACUGCUUAACCUAUUUCUGAGACUCCAAAAAGCUGUUCGCUCUCAUGCUGCCCCUUUUCAUAUUUCUCAUAUCCGAUCUCACACACAACUUCCUGGGGCCACUAUCUCUAGACCCCAGCAGAACGACACUGGCAACUGCUAGAGGAAAAGAGGAGAUGGACAAACCGUGUGGGUGCCCUCCAGGUGUGUGUGACCAUGGAACGGGAGACCGGAGGGAUCCAUGGUAUUCAACCGUGGGCCUGUUACCUCCAGUACGAGCCAUGAGCCAGCGGAAUCUGAAUGCAAAGACAGAACAAGGGCC
rnacentral:lncRNA from 1 species